rnacentral:ncRNA from 1 species
UAUAAAGUUAGUUCUAGCUUUUAUUUUUAGUUUUAAAUAUAGUAAAUAUAAAUUAUUGUGGGAUUUAUUUUUAAUUUUUAAAAUUAAAAAUAAUUUUAAUAUUUAAUUAUAGUAUUUAAUUUUAAAUAUUAAAGAAAUUUAAAUUUAGUAUUAUAAUAAAUUAUUGAUAAAAUUUGUGCCAGCAAUCGCGGUUAUACAAAUAAUAUAAAAAAUUUCUUUAAAAAUUAAUAAGUUAAUAAAUUUAAAUUAAAAAAAUAAUUGUUGGGUUAAAUUUUAAUUAAAGAUAGAUUUAAUUAUAUUUAUUUUAUGAAAUUAUAAAAUUUAGUUUUUAAACUAGGAUUAGAUACCCUAUUAUUAUAAAUAAAUAUUUAAUAACAAUGAAGUAUUAAUAGAUAUGUUCUUUAAACUUAAAGAAUUUGGCAGUAUUUUAUUAUAUUAGAGGAACCUGUUUAAUAAUUGAUAAUACACGAUUAAUUUUACUUAGUUUUUUAAUUUAUAUAUCGUCGUUAAAAAAAUAUUUUUAAAGAAUAAAUUUUUAAAUUUUAAUAAAAAAUUACAUCAGAUCAAGAUAUAGUUUAUAAUUAAGAAUAAAUGGGUUAUAAUAAAUAAAUUUAAAAGGAUUAUAAAUUAAAAUAAUUUAUAUAAAAGUAGAUUUAAUUGUAAUUUAAAUUAUUUAAUUUAAAUGAUUUUUUACUUAAAAUAUGUACAUAUUGCCCGUCGCUUUCAUUUUAAAUUUGAAAUAAGUCGUAACAAAGUAGAAGUACUGGAAAGUGCUUCUAGAA